CUUAUGUCUAAUUCAAGCUUCGCCAUUAAAUGCAUCAUCGUUAUGACAACAAUUUGACGAAAACAACGCACAAUAGAUGCACUUCGCUAGAAUUUAAUUAGAGUUUUAUUGAGACGAAAUACUUCCGUAAACACUCCAGGUAUGAAAGUUAUUACAUAAUUUUCGAACAAAACCAUUCAGGACAUGGUGAAUUCGCUUCUACUUCUGCCAUUUUGAUGAUUUUCCGCAUUUCGUAGCUAUAAAUAAUUAGUUACGCACUUGUUUUAAAUGUCGUAUUUAAGAAUUUUUAACAUUUACUUAUUGCAGUUAAUGUUCAUAUUUUAGAUGAGAUACUAUAUAUUCAACAAAAUGAAAAACUUUGUGGAAAUCUAUUUAUCAAAAUGGUUUAAACUCCUUGGGAAAGUAAUUAGUCGGCAUCCGAAUUUUUUUAUAGUUAUACCUUUGAUAAUUUCGAUAGUUCUCUCAACAGGAUAUUUGAGGAUAAAGAAAAUAACCGACACUGAAUAUCUUUU
rnacentral:lncRNA from 1 species